CCUACGGGUGGCAGCAGUGAGGAAUAUUGGGCAAUGGAGGCAACUCUGACCCAGCCAUGCCGCGUGAGUGAUGAAGGCCUUCGAAUUGUACAGCUCUUUCGGAUGUGAAGUUGAUGACGGUAACAUCUAAUGAAGCCCUGGCCAACUUCGUGCCAGCAGCCGCGGUAAUACGCAGGGGGCAAGCGUUGUUCGGAAUUACUGGGCGUAAAGGGUGUGUAGGCGGGUAAGUAAGAUCGUGGUGAAAUGCCUGAGCUCAACUUUGGAACUGCCAUUAAAACUAUUUUUCUAGAGUAACAGAGAGGAUAUUGGAAUACGCAGUGUAGAGGUGAAAUUCGUAGAUAUUGGGUAGAACACCGGAGGCGAAGGCGAGUAUCUGGCUGUCAACUGACGCUGAGGCACGAAAGCAUGGGGAUCAAACAGGAUUAGAUACCCGGGUAGUC
rnacentral:rRNA from 1 species